UGGACGUUUCUAGUGCAGGAAUGUCCAAACCCAUCGCUCGAGGGCCACUGUCCUACAGAGUUUAGCUCCAACCUUAAUUAAACACACCUGAACCAGCUAAGCAAGGUCUUCAGACUCACUAGAACAGGUGUGUCCAAUCCUACACCUGGUGGGCCAGUGUUUAUAUCCAACUUGCUUCAACACACCUGUGUGGAACUUUGUAGUAAUUCUGCAGUCAGGUGUGUUUAACUGGUGUUGGAGCUGUUCUCUGCAGUAUAGCGGACCUCCAGGAGCAAGAUUGGACAUUGUUGCACUAUAAACUUCCAGGCAAGUCUGUUGGAGGUGGUUGGAGCUAAACUCUGCAGGAUGUUGGACCUUAAGGAGCAGGAUCGGACAGCCCUACCUUACAGGAAACGUUGCUGGUGUCCAUAUGCCCUUAUCACAGAGAGGCCUGAUACCGUUUCUCCAAAGUAGUACAUUACUGGUAGCUGUGUUACCUGGACAAAGUAGUAGACAACAGCCAUUGGUACAACAACUGCGGUGAAGAUUGGAGUAGCCAGACAGAUAACAAACAAUGUUCCUAGAACUCCAAGAAGACAGAGAAUCCAGGAUC